UUGGCUAAGCGGGAUUUUCCGCUGUGAGGGCAAGCAAAACAAAAUGAUGCAGUUGAGUGGACAUAAGUAACACUCUCAUCGUCUCCCAUUAGCGCAGGAUGGGACUGGCUCGUUAAAAGAAAACAAGCGCUCUCGCUAAUUGCAGCAACAGCGUUUAAUGAUCACAACAUCAUCUGCGAACGUCACGGUCCAAAGGGAUUCCAGUCUAACCUCAUCUGUCAGCCUAUCCAUGACUACCGCAAACAGGAAGGGGCUCGGAGCGGAUCCCUGAUGAUCGUAAUUCAGCUUUCAGUCAUCAAGGCUCUUUUGUUCCACACCCCCCCCCUGCCCCCCUCCCAAGUCACUCACACACACAAACAGCAGGGGACAGCAACAUUUGGCCCCCACUGACCCAUCAGACACGCCGGUGCCAGGAAGCACGAGCAGCAGUCGCAUGGCGGAGCGCUUCAGCAUCAUGAGCGCCGCGCUCGACUGCCGCCGCCGUCAAUCCGCUGACGGGAGUCGUUCUGCCGCACUUCCUGCCGACGCACGCAACAUCCUCUGACUCGCUCGCUAAACAACUGCCUUGAGUGAAAAGAUGACUCGUCCGUCGCUAUUUUGGAGUUUGAUACUCCACAAUGGCUACAGCAAAGCUCCCGAAGCCCAAGCUUACUGGUUACUAUGAGGCUGCAAUGGAUGAUGGCUCAUGGAAAGCAAAUCGACUGCCCGAUCUCUCUCAGUUUUGUCACAAAGUGGGCCGGGCAAAGGUCGACGGGCACGCGGUCCAUCCGCGAAGACGACGGCUGCCGUUGGUCAGCGGAGGGGCGUGCGCGCCAAGGCCACCCUAUCAUCUUUGUCGUGUCGUAUCCGCGCGCGCGUGUGUCAGCUAUCAACACCUGCCGCCGACAGCUAGCUAGCUAAGUUAUCGUUUCACUCUCACCUCAAACAGAAGGACGCUCAAGGAGGACGUAUCCUUGAACACAUGACAAUCAUUUACCGAGCCACCAUCUUUUUUUUUUUUUACCCUGUAACGCAUUGUUGUUAAUGUUGUUGUCCACCCCCUACACUCUAUUUCGAGAUAUGUAUUUUCCAACCACAGCAUUAGUCACCCAUACAACAACACAAGCUGCUUCUUUAUAAAUCGAAGGAAAUUGCUGCAAACUGCAUUUACUUGAUGUAUAUUUCAAAUAAUAAUGAAAAAUUCAGCACA